rnacentral:rRNA from 1 species
CAGUCGCCGCGGGAAUACGUAGGUGGCGAGCGUUGUCCGGAUUUAUUGGGCGUAAAGGGAGUGUAGGCGGUCUUUUAAGUCUGAUGUGAAAGCCCACGGCUCAACCGUGGAGGGUCAUUGGAAACUGGGAGACUUGAGUGCAGAAGAGGAGAGCGGAAUUCCGUGUGUAGCGGUGAAAUGCGUAGAUAUAUGGAGGAACACCAGUGGCGAAGGCGGCUCUCUGGGCCUGCACUGACGCUUAUGCACGAAAGCGUGGGGAGCAAACAGGAUUAGAUACCCCGGUAGUCCCUGUCUCUUAUAC